GAUGUAAUUAUCUCUUACACAAAUGGGGUUUCUCAGAAACAUCUGCUUGCACUUGCGAAGUGGAACAAACAGUAAAGCACAUAGUGCAGGAGUGCCCUCAAACAAAAUUUUGAAGGAGAAAUUGAAAACGUUCAUAGAUGCAAUGGACUGGAUGCGCGAGCUGAAUGUACGUAUAUAGUCCCCUGUUCCAUCAACAUCUCACUGCCUAUCCCUGUUUUCAUCUCAAGAUAUUUUACAUCACUCAUUUGUAUUUU